AUUUUUGGUUUAAAUAAUAUAUUUUUGGCAGUUAUAAGUUGCAGAGGUGGGGAGUUUGUUCAGAUUUUCACGAAAUUAUUUUGAGUUUUAGAAUUUUGAUUCCUACCUCUAAUUCACUCUGUAAUGAGAUGUCUCACAUUUGACCAAGGGAACAUGAAGACUCAAUAAACAAUGAAGGAAUCGACGAAGACGAGCAAAUGAAGAAGGCUUGGGAGCAAGCGAGCCACUUUGGAAGGAAGUCUGUUAACUUUGUGCUGCAGCGAAGCACUCGAAGUGCUGCUGCACAUUUCCUCUAUUCGGCUCUAUUAACUUUGUACUGUAGCACGACUCUGUUACGGUACAUUUGGGAAGAUUUUGGGUGAGAUCUCCUUCUAAUAUUGUCGAGUUUUGUUUCCAUUUAAGCUUGUAUCUAAUAAAAUAGAGAGAUAUCAUAGAGAGACUAAUCGAGAGAAAAAGGAGAGAGCUUGGGAAAGAGAUCUAGGGUUCUUGGUGUAGCGAUCUCGGGUGGGAGUCGAGCGAAACUAAAUCUUUAUAUCUUGUAAUCUCCAUUCUUUAUAGUGGAUUAGUGAAUUGUACUAUGACGCUGCUUGUGAAGGUUUCUCCUUUCCCAUUAGAAGGGGUUUGCUUUCUCUUCGUUUGAUUGUUAACCACAUCGAGAUCUUUACACCCGACUAUGUGGGGGGUUUUUGCAUUUUCGGUUGAUGGGGGGGAUGGAUUGUUGCAUAUGGGGCAAUUGGAAGCGAAUUUUUGGUUAACAAACAUCAACAGUGGGAAUCAAUGAUUCCAUUUCCGAUUCCAUGGGAUUUUCAUAUCAAAACAAACUGUCCCAAUUCUUUACGAGGGAAUAUAGGGGGAGAGAGAGAGGGUAUCUAUGCAUAUAACAAGAUGGAUUCAUGGCAUGCUGCAUUGCUGCUCAUCGUCUCGCCAUCAGCAGGCACAUACAAAGAAGUUCCUUCUAGGUUGAAUCCCGGCGAGAGUUUCUGCAUUUCGGCAUCGGCUUGAAUCCCAGCAAGAGUUCCUUCUAUAGGUCCGCUGACGACCUCGCCGGGGGCGGUGGUAGCUGGGGUCGGCCCCCAGCGCCCCUCUCCUUCAACGUGCUCAGACUUGAUACAAAGCUGAUGAUAUCAAGAGAGGGGUUCACUCCUUGGAUUAAUGAGAUGACAAAUUUUGAGCUUCUCCAUUUCCAAACGAGGAAUCAGCUGAGUCUGGGAUGCUGAGAGAUGAUUCAAGCAUGAUAAGUACAGAGUCCAUUCCAGGAUAACCAUGAGGGAACUUUAUCCAAACAGUACAGAAUGAUUUGAGAUAUGAAAGUGACACAAAACCCGUAAAUGUGGACACAGCCAGAUAUCCGGCGAUAGUCUGAGGGACUCUGCAGGAAUAUCAGAAAUGCAGAUUGAUGAGCCUCACUCUGCUUAGUCACGGGUUGCUCUUUAAUAGUAAUGACUUUGCUUGGAAGGUAAGCAGCUUAAUGGUUAUUUUAGCUCCAUGUAUGACCGUUUAUGAAAGUUGAAUGAGAAGGAGGUCAUUAAGAUUGUCUAACACCGAGCUUAACCAGCCCUGAGUCAACUUGCGCUACGAUAUCAAGUUGAUUAUUACACAAGAUAUACUAGGUAAAAAUUUACCUACGAUAUCAAGAAGCACCAAGUGGCGGAAGCUGGAUUAAUAUAGUUUUUGGAGGAUGAAUAUUUGUCAGAAAUUGUAAAGGGUUCUUUUGAUUUGAAUUUGAGGGACCUUGCGAAAUGUCGAUUGGGAUGAACUAUUUCGUAGGUGUUGGGAAAAUUUUCUUUCUUAUUUCGAGGUUGCCUAUUUAAUUUAAGCAUUCAGGAAAAGAUUGUGAAUUCGGUGAGUUUUGGUUAGCCUUCUCCUAACAGAUUAUGUGGGCUUUAUGGCCCAUAACCCACCAAAAGGAAGUCAUGUUUUGAGGGCAUAGAAUGGCACGACACAGAGCUGUUUUUCUGUGUAGAACAGAGCUGAGCAAGGACGUGACAGAGCUGGAGAAAAUUCUGCAGAAUUGUGCAGGUUGCUAAGGUGCUUCGGGAGUCAAUUGGGAGGCGAGUUGUGAUCCGUUUUCUGCGAAACUUCAGAUGGUGAUUCCUGGUCGUAUAAGCUUCGUCUUGAUACGUUUAACUCAUCAAUGGGCGCUUAUUUGGCUGCCCAUCCAGCAGCCCUUUUUCGAUCCCUUUUGGUGAGAUUGUUUCGGUUAUCCACCAAUUAUCUUGGUGAAGAAUUUCUAGGUUAUCCAAGAAUUAUUUCUUGAUGAUUAAUUGGCAUUGUAUCCUCUGAUUAUAUCGGAAAAGAAACUAUCUAUCCUGCUA